rnacentral:rRNA from 1 species
GCAAGUCGAGCGAAUCGAUGGGAGCUUGCUCCCUGAGAUUAGCGGCGGACGGGUGAGUAACACGUGGGCAACCUGCCUAUAAGACUGGGAUAACUUCGGGAAACCGGAGCUAAUACCGGAUACGUUCUUUUCUCGCAUGAGAGAAGAUGGAAAGACGGUUUACGCUGUCACUUAUAGAUGGGCCCGCGGCGCAUUAGCUAGUUGGUGAGGUAAUGGCUCACCAAGGCGACGAUGCGUAGCCGACCUGAGAGGGUGAUCGGCCACACUGGGACUGAGACACGGCCCAGACUCCUACGGGAGGCAGCAGUAGGGAAUCUUCCGCAAUGGACGAAAGUCUGACGGAGCAACGCCGCGUGAACGAAGAAGGCCUUCGGGUCGUAAAGUUCUGUUGUUAGGGAAGAACAAGUACCAGAGUAACUGCUGGUACCUUGACGGUACCUAACCAGAAAGCCACGGCUAACUACGUGCCAGCAGCCGCGGUAAUACGUAGGUGGCAAGCGUUGUCCGGAAUUAUUGGGCGUAAAGCGCGCGCAGGUGGUUCCUUAAGUCUGAUGUGAAAGCCCACGGCUCAACCGUGGAGGGUCAUUGGAAACUGGGGAACUUGAGUGCAGAAGAGGAAAGUGGAAUUCCAAGUGUAGCGGUGAAAUGCGUAGAGAUUUGGAGGAACACCAGUGGCGAAGGCGACUUUCUGGGUCUGUACUGACACUG